ACUAGAUAUGCAAAUUAAAUUUAUAUAUAUAUAUUUUGUGGAACCAUAGUUUAAACUGUAAAUGAGGUUUAACAUGAGGAGCCACUUCAUUUUUUAUGAAGUUCUGGUUACAGGUAUUGCUGUCACUCCUUCCCAGUACAGCAACAUAAUGCACAGUGUGUUCAUUUAGAACUGGAAAUGGAUGACCCGUCCUGCUUGGAAGUCAUGGGGGACUCGUAGAUAUGGACCAGCACGGAGGAACUGGCUGGCAACUCAAAUCUGAAAGUAAAAAUACAUUGUCAAAGUAGCCAUGAAAAAGCGUAAUGCUCAGUUAUGAAAGUCUGUCCCUAAGAAGGAUUUUCCUAUGGAGCGGUCACAUUUUUAGCUCAUGUCUACAGUUCUCCAUGUUUCCUAUCCAGGUAAGCCCAAUGCAUUCUGAUGAUGGUUUGAUGAUAGUUUUGCAAUAUAUUUUUUACGAACAGCUGUGCUUGGUAAUUUUAAGCAGUAUAUAUGAGGCAAUGUGUUCACAAGGCAGAUCGAAAAACUGCCAAAUAUAUAAGCAGAGGGGUGCACUUAAAUUUGUUAUGAAAAAAUCUCAAUGUGGCAGCUGUGUUGGACUAGAAAAUAGCCCAUAUGCUAUUUAUAAAAUAAAAGCUACAGUAACAUUUACUUACAGGUGCAAACUUCAGAACCCCCCUUUUCAAUUAAAUUAACUUAAACCCUUCAGCAUUGUUUAAAGAUGAAUAUCCUUGUAUAGCCCUCCUCUGGUAUUUUGGCAGAAAAAAAAUUAAAACAGCAUUGUCUUAAUAUGUACAUCAAAACACAAAUCAAAUGCACAUACAUUUUAUAAAUACAUUUCUGCGAUAACACAACAUUGUGAUGUUUACCGCUCGGUACUUUUAGGGUGUCUUCUCUGAAGUAUCUUGCAGAGCCGCACGUCUCCAGAGAGGAAUCGGCCAAAAUACAUUCCUUUUAGUGUCAUUUGGUUCUCCUUAAAACAACAAUUCUAGUUGUCUCAGUACGCAGAUGACAAUAAAUAAUUUCUUUAUGUACAAUGAAUAAUAAUAAAAAAUCUAGUCUGAGAUCCUUCUUUGUCUUGUUCUGUGUACAUCUAGAAAGAUGGGUACAGGUUACAGGUAAAUGCUAAAAUCUAGUCUGACUGCCGAUGGGGGGGGGGGUGUUUGUGUGAGGGAAUGGCUCGACAUCUAAUUGUCAGCUGAGAGCUUUAUCAUCUUUAGUGGGGCAAUUUCUAUGGUUUUGCUGUUACGACGUUCCGACAAAUUUCUAGCAUGUCAGAAAAAUUUAGUCCCCGACAAAGCAAUUUGUGAAGAGUGCGAGGGGCUAAGGGCCGAUUUCUUGAGGAAUGCUGCCAGCAGCCAAUAGGACAAGCUAGCAACAAUAACGACUAAGAAAGGUUGUGCCCCUCUUUGACAUA